rnacentral:rRNA from 1 species
AUUGAACGCUGGCGGCAUGCCUUACACAUGCAAGUCGAACGGCAGCACGGGUGCUUGCACCUGGUGGCGAGUGGCGAACGGGUGAGUAAUACAUCGGAACAUGUCCUGUAGUGGGGGAUAGCCCGGCGAAAGCCGGAUUAAUACCGCAUACGAUCUACGGAUGAAAGCGGGGGACCUUCGGGCCUCGCGCUAUAGGGUUGGCCGAUGGCUGAUUAGCUAGUUGGUGGGGUAAAGGCCUACCAAGGCGACGAUCAGUAGCUGGUCUGAGAGGACGACCAGCCACACUGGGACUGAGACACGGCCCAGACUCCUACGGGAGGCAGCAGUCGGGAAUUUUGGACAAUGGGCGAAAGCCUGAUCCAGCAAUGCCGCGUGUGUGAAGAAGGCCUUCGGGUUGUAAAGCACUUUUGUCCGGAAAGAAAUCCUUGGCCCUAAUACGGUCGGGGGAUGACGGUACCGGAAGAAUAAGCACCGGCUAACUACGUG